rnacentral:rRNA from 1 species
AUACGUAGGUGGCAAGCGUUAUCCGGAUUUACUGGGUGUAAAGGGCGCGUAGGCGGGGGUGCAAGUCAGAUGUGAAAUCUAUUGGCUUAACUCAUAAACUGCAUUUGAAACUGUAUCUCUUGAGUGCUGGAGAGGUAGACGGAAUUCCUUGUGUAGCGGUGAAAUGCGUAGAUAUAAGGAAGAACACCAGUGGCGAAGGCGGUCUACUGGACAGUAACUGACGCUGAGGCGCGAAAGCGUGGGGAGCAAACAGGAUUAGAUACCCUGGUAGUCCACGCUGUAAACGAUGAAUACUAGGUGUGGGGGGACUGACCCCCUCCGUGCCGCAGUUAACACAAUAAGUAAUCCACCUGGGGAGUACGGCCGCAAGGUUGAAACUCAAAUGAAUUGACGGGG